rnacentral:rRNA from 1 species
UUCCGGUUGAUCCUGCCAGAGGCGACCGCUAUUGGAGUUCGAUUAAGCCAUGCGAGUCUAGAGGCUUAGGCCUCGGCGUACCGCUCAGUAACACGUGGAUAACCUGCCCUGUUCAGGGGGAUAACCUCGCGAAAGUGAGAAUAAUACCCCAUAGUUCACCAUGCCUGGAACGGUUGGUGGAUGAAAGCUCAGGCGGAACAGGAUGGGUCUGCGGCGUAUCAGGUAGUAGGGGGUGUAAUGGACCUCCUAGCCAUCGACGCGUACGGGUUGUGGGAGCAAUCGCCCGGAGAUGGAUUCUGAGACACGAAUCCAGACCCUACGGGGUGCAGCAGGCGCGAAAACUUGACAAUGCGAGAAAUCGUGAUCAGGGAACUCCAAUUGUCUCCGUUUUUACGGAGUUCUGAAUUGACUCUAAACAGGUCGAGUAAUAGGGGCGGGAAAUAUCGGUGCCAGCCGCCGCGGUAAUACCGAAGCCCCAAGUGGUCGUCGUUCUUAUUGGGCCUAAAACGUCCGUAGCCGGUUUGGUACAUUCGUGGGUAAAUCGGACAGCUUAACUGUCUGAAUUCUGCGAGCACGGCCAAACUUGAGACCGGGAGAGGUGUAGGGUACCUGCGGGGUAGGGGUAAAAUCCUGUCAUCCCGUAGGGACCACCAGUUGCGAAGGCUCUACACUAGAACGGAUCUGACGGUCAGGGACGAAGCCUAGGGGCACGAACCGGAUUAGAUACCCGGGUAGUCCUAGGUGUAAACGCUGUGGACUUUGUGUCGGGGAUUCUUCGAGGAUUCUCGGUGCCGGAGUGAAGAUGUUAAGUCCACUGCCUGGGGAGUACGGUCGCAAGGCUGAAACUUAAAGGAAUUGGCGG